UUAUAGGACUGUGCACGUAGUUAAGAGUGUUGUAAAGCAACGGCGCCAAUGAAAACGACUUGGGACGUUGUAGCGCAUUGAGAAUGUAAGGACUAGGCCAAUGGUAACCUGCGCAGACAGGUGAAACCACGUGAUUUACGUGUGAGGCCUUUAAUAGACUGCAAAAGGCCAUAUUACAGCCUUUACAGGACUGUGCAGGUAGUUAAGAGUGUUCUAAGGCCACGGCGCUAAGGAAAACCACUUGAAACGUUGUAGUGCAUUGAGACUGGAAGGAAUAGUCCAGUGGUAACCUGCGCAGGCAGAUGGAACCAAGUGAUUUUCGUGUGAGGGCUUUAUUAGACCGCAAAAGGCCAUAUUACAGCCUUUAUAGGACUGUGAACGUAGUUAAGAGUGUUGUAAAGCAACGGCGCUAAUGAAAACGACUUGGGACGUUGUAGCACUUUGAGACUGGAAGGACUAGGCCAAUGGUAACCUGCGCAGGCAGGUGAAACAACGUGAUUUACGUGUGAAGCCUUUAUUAGACUGCAAAAGGCCAUAUUACAGCCUUUAUAGGACUGUGCACGUAGUUAAAAGUGUUGUAUGGCAACAGCGCUAAUGAAAAUGACUUGGGACGCUGUAGCGCAUUGAGACUGGAAGUAAUAGUCCAAUGGUAACCUGCACAGACAAAUGGAACCGCGCGAUUUACGUGUGAGGCCUUUAUUAGACUGCAAAAGGCCAUAUUACAGCCUUUAUAGGACUGUGCACGUAUUUAAGAGUGUUGUAAGGCAACAGCGAUAAUGAAAACGACUUGGGACGUUGUAGUGCAUUGAGACUGGAAGGAAUAGUCCAAUGGUAACCUGCGCAGGCAGAUGGAACCACGUGAUUUACGUGUGAGGCUUUUAUUAGACUGCAAAAGGCCAUAUUACAGCCUUUAUAGGACUGUGCACGUAGUUAAGAGUGUUGUAAAGCAAUGGCGCUAAUGAAAACGACUUGGGACGUUGUAGCACAUGGAGACUGGAAGGACUAGACCAAUGGUAACCUGCGCAGGCAGGUGAAACCACGUGAUUUACGUAUGAAGCCUUUGCUAGACUGCAAAAGGCCAAAUUACAGCCUUUAUAGGACUGUGCAGGUUACCAUUGGACUAUUACUUCCAGUCUUAAUGCGCUACAGCGUCCCAAGUCAUUUUCAUUAGCGCCGUUGCCAUACAACAC